UGAGGAAUAUUGGUCAAUGGGCGAGAGCCUGAACCAGCCAUUCCGCGUGAAGGAAGAAGGCCUUACGGGUUGUAAACUUCUUUUCUAUAAGAAGAAAUGCCCUGAUGUAUCGGGGGUUUUGACGGUAUUAUAGGAAUAAGCAUCGGCUAACUCCGUGCCAGCAGCCGCGGUAAUACGGAGGAUGCAAGCGUUAUCCGGAUUUAUUGGGUUUAAAGGGUUGCGCAGGUUGUUUUAUAAGUCAGUGGUGAAAGUCUGCCGCUUAACGGAAGGAUUGCCAUUGAUACUAUAGAACUUGAGUAUGGAUGAGGUAGGCGGAAUGUGUAGUGUAGCGGUGAAAUGCAUAGAUAUUACACAGAACACCGAUUGCGGAGGCAGCUUACAGGCCAUUACUGACGCUGAG
rnacentral:rRNA from 1 species